rnacentral:rRNA from 1 species
CCUUCGGGAGCUUGCACAGGUGCUGCAUGGCUGUCGUCAGCUCGUGUCGUGAGAUGUCGGUUAAGUCCGCUAACGAGCGCAACCCUCGCUGUGUGUUAUAUGUGUCACACGGGACUGCCGGUCUUAAGCCGGAGGAAGUGGGGAUGAUGUCAAGUCAGCAUGGCCUUUAUAUCCUGGGCUACACACACGCUACAAUGGCCAACACAAUAGGUUGCUAAGCCGCGAGGUGGCGCCAAUCCAUAAAGUUGGUCUCAGUUCAGAUUGUAGGCUGCAACCCGCCUGCAUGAAGAUGGAGUUGCUAGUAACCGCAGGUCAGCUAUACUGCGGUGAAUACGUUCCCGGGCUU